AUUGAACGCUGGCGGCAUGCCUUACACAUGCAAGUCGAACGGUAACAGGUUAAGCUGACGAGUGGCGAACGGGUGAGUAAUGUAUCGGAACGUGCCCAGUCGUGGGGGAUAACUGCUCGAAAGAGCAGCUAAUACCGCAUACGACCUGAGGGUGAAAGCGGGGGAUCGCAAGCACUCGCGCGAUUGGAGCGGCCGAUAUCAGAUUAGGUAGUUGGUGAGGUAAAGGCUCACCAAGCCGACGAUCUGUAGCUGGUCUGAGAGGACGACCAGCCACACUGGGACUGAGACACGGCCCAGACUCCUACGGGAGGCAGCAGUGGGGAAUUUUGGACAAUGGGCGCAAGCCUGAUCCAGCCAUGCCGCGUGCGGGAAGAAGGCCUUCGGGUUGUAAACCGCUUUUGUCAGGGAAGAAAAGGUUCUGGCUAAUACCUGGGACUCAUGACGGUACCUGAAGAAUAAGCACCGGCUAACUACGUG
rnacentral:rRNA from 1 species